CACGUAUUGUACAGUAGUCGGCGGUAUGCAAGUUAAAGUUGUUUGCGAGCCACCAGGAGAAGAAGAAAAAGAAGGAAAACGGUGUUCAACAAGCUACUGCGCUGACUGCCACGUCGACCCCGAGCCGAGCCCCAUGAGGACCAGAAGGCAAGAGGAAUAAGAGAAACACUUUCUGGGAGGAAUGAGUCUUUUCCUCUGAACCAUCAUCUGAGGGGAUGCCAGUUUCUGAGGUCGAAGAUGCAGAUGUAUCACAGCUCUGACUUGAAGCUCUGUGGUGUGAAAUACUUCAUUUUUUCCUGGGUGUCAUUUUUGGGAAUGAAACCUAAUUUGACACUUGAAAUAGUGUCAUUCAUCAGGCUGUUUAAAACAAACGUGGGCAGUUAAGACAACCUGGUUCUUGUGCGUACAGCAAAGACAC